UUUUAACUUCUAGCCAUGGCGAACGAUCCCAGGGGAGCAUAGACUGAACCCCUCUAUGAACUCUCUUGGAGUGGAUCAGACUGAUGAUCACCAACAACCAGCUCAUUCCCGGAUAAGGAAGAAGAGAGUGUUACCCACUUCAGUGUGGUUUCAACCCCACUUCUACAUCUUAAAGACAUUUGUACAGCGUUGGACACUGUGCAGGAUGAUGCCACUUCAUCUUGGAUGCUAAUCUGCCAUGUUGACUUCUGAUUAACCCCAGGCCCAGGAAUGCCUCAAGAUUUCUACUUUAUGUACUGUUGCUUGUGUAAGCCAAGACAACCUUGAUGUUAUCAUAAACAUGUACUUACCUAAGUCCUGUCCUUUUGCAAAUUAUGGGCUAUGAGACACAGCGUUCUUACCUUUCCCUGAGGGGUCAAUUUCAGCGAUCCUACACAUUCCUUCUGAAGCA
rnacentral:lncRNA from 1 species